AUCUAGCCAUGGGCAGGUUGAAGAUUGAGUAACAUCAAUUGGAGGACCGAACCGACUAAUGUUGAAAAAUUAGCGGAUGACUUGUGGCUAGGGGUGAAAGGCCAAUCAAACUCGGAGAUAGCUGGUUCUCCCCGAAAGCUAUUUAGGUAGCGCCUCGGACGAAUACUACUGGGGGUAGAGCACUGUUAAGGCUAGGGGGUCAUCCCGACUUACCAACCCUUUGCAAACUCCGAAUACCAGUAAGUACUAUCCGGGAGACACACGGCGGGUGCUAACGUCCGUCGUGAAGAGGGAAACAACCCAGACCGCCAGCUAAGGUCCCAAAGUUAUAGCUAAGUGGGAAACGAUGUGGGAAGGCUCAGACAGCCAGGAUGUUGGCUUAGAAGCAGCCAUCAUUUAAAGAAAGCGUAAUAGCUCACUGGUCGAGUCGGCCUGCGCGGAAGAUUUAACGGGGCUAAGCUAUACACCGAAGCUGCGGCAAUGUGCUUAUGCACAUUGGGUAGGGGAGCGUUCUGUAAGCCGUUGAAGGUGCAUUGUAAAGUGUGCUGGAGGUAUCAGAAGUGCGAAUGCUGACAUGAGUAACGACAAAGGGAGUGAAAAACUCCCUCGCCGG
rnacentral:rRNA from 1 species